rnacentral:rRNA from 1 species
UACGGGGGGAGCAAGCGUUGUUCGGAUUUACUGGGCGUAAAGGGCGCGUAGGCGGCCAGCACAAGUCAGUUGUGAAAUCUCCGAGCUUAACUCGGAAAGGUCAACUGAUACUGUGCGGCUAGAGUGCGGAAGGGGCAACUGGAAUUCUUGGUGUAGCGGUGAAAUGCGUAGAGAUUGGGAAGAACAUCCGUGGCGAAAGCGCUCUGCUGGACUGCAACUGACAUUGAGGGACGAAAGCUAGGGGAGCGAAUGGG